CUGAUUAUUAGCAUCAUUCAUCGAAUGGUGGGUUAGCGCGCGUCGGCUUGCAGUGACAUAUAACCCGCCAAACGAGGCGGGUUUU
rfam:Burkholderia sp. H160 ctg00557, whole genome shotgun sequence.